rnacentral:rRNA from 1 species
GACGAACGCUGGCGGCGUGCCUAGCACAUGCAAGUCGAGCGAGUGAAUCUCCUUCGGGAGUGAAGCUAGCGGCGGACGGGUGAGUAACACGUGGGCAACCUGCCUCAUAGAGGGGAAUAGCCUUUCGAAAGGAAGAUUAAUACCGCAUAAGAUUGUAGCUUCGCAUGAAGUAGCAAUUAAAGGAGCAAUCCGCUAUGAGAUGGGCCCGCGGCGCAUUAGCUAGUUGGUGAGGUAACGGCUCACCAAGGCGACGAUGCGUAGCCGACCUGAGAGGGUGAUCGGCCACAUUGGGACGGAGACACGGCCCAGACUCCUACGGGAGGCAGCAGUGGGGAAUAUUGCACAAUGGGGGAAACCCUGAUGCAGCAACGCCGCGUGAGUGAUGACGGCCUUCGGGUUGUAAAGCUCUGUCUUCAGGGACGAUAAUGACGGUACCUGAGGAGGAAGCCACGGCUAACUACGUGCCAGCAGCCGCCGUAAGAC